rnacentral:rRNA from 1 species
UAAUACGUAGGUGGCGAGCGUUGUCCGGAUUUAUUGGGCGUAAAGCGCGCGCAGGCGGUCCAUCGCGUCCGGUGUGAAAUCUCCCGGCUCACCUGGGAGGGGGCGCUGGAAACGGAUGGACUGGAGGCAGGCAGAGGUCGGUGGAAUUCCCGGUGUAGUGGUGAAAUGCGUAGAGAUCGGGAGGAACACCAGUGGCGAAAGCGGCCGACUGGGCCUGUUCUGACGCUGAGGCGCGAAAGCGUGGGGAGCGAACCGGAUUAGAUACCCGGGUAGUCCACGCCGUAAACGAUGGCCACUAGGUGUGGGGGGUAUCGACCCCCUCCGCGCCGCAGCUAACGCGUUAAGUGGCCCGCCUGGGGAGUACGGCCGCAAGGCUA